CUCUUCUUUAUAUAUCAAACACACCUGUUUUACAGGUUCACCUCCCUUUCUGCCAAAGCCAACAACGACAACAACACCGAUCUCUUCACCUCCUUGAUCUCAGACAUCAAAUCCUACUCUGGCAACGACCCUCUUCUCGCAUGGCUCCAAUAUGCCUCUCUCUUUCUUUGUGGGUAGCUCUUUUAAUGGUUUUAAAAAGUAAGAUUGUUUGGCAUUUUGUAUAUACAGAGGGAUCAGAAAGAUGAAGGAUUCGCUGCCUUCGCAAGUACUGAACGAGAAGCUGCCACGGUUUUUGCAGAAGUGCGCGCAGACCUUCGAUUCCGAUCGCCGUUACAAAAACGACUUACGAGAUGAGGUGGGUUCUUUCUAAAAUCCUUGAUAGCUCUUUCUCUCGCUGUCAAUGGCAGACAAGAAAUUAGGGUUCUUCACUAUAAAAGAAGAAGAUUAUGGAGGCAUAAAGAGAGGGGAGGCACGUACUACUACAGAAAGAAGGAUCACCAAAGAGUAAGACCUUUCUUUUAUUCUGCACUUUUAUUUAGUUGCUUUUCUGAAAUUUAAUAAUUUGUUAAGAUAAAGAGAGGCUGGAACCACUACCGGUGAGUUUUUAUCUUCAAUUUAAGUUUGUUUAUUAAUUGUGAUUAGGUUUUGAUAUUCACAACCAACCCAAUAUCAGAUCGCUGGAACUGCUACAAGUAAAAUCGUUUAUGUUAAUUUUGUGCGUUUAAUAGGAUUUAGGUUUUGCUAUUUUGGUUGGUUGGUUUUGAUUUAAGAAAUUGGUUUAGAUUUUGUAUAGUCAAAACCUAAUAUAGAUUCCUUUCAAUAUAUAACCCUCUAUAUAUUCCCAUCAGUGGCCAUAGAAGAGUGACCACUCUCUAACAAACUGAUUUUAUUUUGGUUUAUUUGGAAAUAUCUCAUGUCUCAUUCUUUUAAUGUGUUGUGGCUUAUAAGAGAAGAGCCAGUUAUGAGGAGAAGUUUGUUGAUUCUAUGUAGAAGAAAGCUAAGGAGGAAAAAGGUUGAAUUUGCAUCAAAGAGAUUCUUGGUAUUCUUUCGUGGACUUACAGAUUGAUUAAUUUUGAUAGCAACCAGAUUCCAAGAUCCUUCAAAGGCAAUGAUUUUUUAAGAUAUAAUAUUUGGUUCCGGAAAAUUAGCCUGUUUUCUAUUGAAACUAACAGAAUUUGUAUUGCUCUAUUUAUUUAUUUGGUUGGUUGAGAAAUUCUGUUGAUGGGUUUUGUUGGUGAGAAUUUCUACGCUGAAUCUAAAAUUUAAUACUAAAUAUUAAAUUUGAUGUUCACUUCUUACUUUUUUUUUUCUUGUCCUAAUUUCGCUGUCUCAUUGACAGGCUUCAAGUGUAGGAAUGGUGCACACAAUCUUUCAUUAAUAACUAUGCAAGUUUGUAUUAAUUUCAUGUGAUUUUUUUAUUUUUUAUUAUUUUUAUGAUAGUUAGAUAUCUAUUUGCUUAUGAAUGAUAUCAGAUCUGACCCUCACUUAAACAAAACAUAAGGUAUAACAUUCACAAAACUUAACGUAAGGUAUCCUAUGCUUUCUUGCUUUCUGAGAAAAUUUCAUUUCCAUUCCAUGUGUUUGUCACAGGUUUUUGUUUUGUGUGUCUUUGGGUUAAUAAGGCAACAAAACUAAAGUUUUUAAGGCUGUCUGAGACUGUCAACAACAUCACAUAAUGGUAGCUUAAAUUCUUCUUUCAUUGCUGAUUUUUUUCAUUUGCUUUGAUUUGUAAAUAAGGACUGUGUUUUUGGAGAAGUGAAUAAUGACUCUAAGUUUGUUACAUUUCAUACUGAUUGAACUGUUGAUUGCCUGAAUGGAAGUAUAUAAGUAAGAUUUCCCUAAUUUAAAUGCCAUUUGUGAUUUUUUUGUUUUUUGUGAUGCACUUGAAGCAUAGAGUUUCUUUAUUCAAAAAUUGAUAGUUGAUACUAGCUUAAUAUUUCUUCUUAUUAUACUCUAUGGGUUUUGUUUUCCCUUUACUACACAAACACAAACAAAAUUCCAAUAUGUUUUUUAUUUAUGUAGUUAUCCCAGAUUUUUUAAAAUUUGGGUUGCCAAACAUAGGUGUAUAUGAUUUAGACUCAAACCUUAAAUAACUACCAUUUGUUGUGAUAAGAUUGUAUAGAAAUUAUUCACCAUAAAUGUGUAUUAUCCAUACUUCUAAGAGGAUUGGCUCUGUUCCUUCUAUGCCUACUUAGAUAAAGUGGAUGUGGUUUUGUAAGGUGCCACUAGGUGCCAUCAUCAGAGGUUCAUUUGAGACCAAUUGUGAGAAUUUGUGGUAUAACAAAAUUUGAAAAUAAUUAUAUUGAAAGUUAACACAAAUCUAUCUUUUAGAUUUAUUGGUUGAAGAGCAAUUUCUUCAAAAUUGGUUGGCACCGAUAAGCAAGAGUUCAAUGCAGAUGUUGGUCAUUUUGGAGUAGGAAUUUGUCAUGAUAUAUGCUUCUCUAAAGUUGCUACAUUCCUGUCAAGGUAAGCAAAAUACUAAAAUUUUGAACUGUUGUAGAGAUUAUAAACAAAAGAGACAUGCCAAAUCUGCCUUCAAUUAAAACGUCAGGUGUUUAGGAGUUAUCUUGCAACUAUACAAAGUAUUUUCAACCUUUCAUUAGGUUAUCCCACUUGGAAGACCAUUUUUUAGUUAUUAUUACAUGUGUUUUGUGAAAUUUCAUUAGACAUGUGAUAUGUAAUAUUUAGUCUCGAUUCCCACUUUAUCUCAUCCUAUUAUAGAUUUGCAUCUCCUCUAUAGGACUCAAAUAUCACAUUGGAUUCUUGCUUAUCACAAGUGUAGACUAUGUUGGUAAGGUAUUGCUUGCGUUGCUGAGCUAAGUUCAUUUUUUGGAGUUCAUGUAAUUGUAUUUUUUUUUAAAACUUCAUCAGUCACAAUUCUGCAUUGUGUGCUAUCCGAACAUUUGAGUUAAAUAGUCAAUAUUAUCUUGGUUUGAGAAAACCCAAGACCUAAUCAGGGUGGCCAAGAGCUUCCUUAGUCUCUGUAUUAUUAGGUGCACCAAGAGCUUUCAUGUCCUUUUAUUUCUAUUUUUGUAGGGAUCACUAUUUUCAUUCUUUAGAUUGUAUUAUGAACUUUCAUUAUUGUUUUAAUCAUUUUCAGGUGUGGAUUUUGAGAUUAAGUUGCUCACAAUUGGUGGGAGAAGAUUGAAGCUUACAAUUUGGGACAUAGGCAACUGCUGGAAUUAUUUUGAAUUAUAGUUUCAUUUUAAUCUUUGAUUAAUGAUGCUUUUGGAAGUGAUAGUUUAUGCUAACAUGUAAUCUUUCUCUUCUUUCAAGUUAGUCAUUGCUUUUGGUGCAUAAAUAGAUUGUAGAGCUAUUAACAAUAGCUGAAAGAUAUGUAUAUUUGAUUUUUAGUUGGGUGAACUUUUGGAUUUUAAUAGAAACAUUUAACCUUCGGAUGUUGAAAAAACAAGAAGGUAAAAUGUUCUGUAAAUUUUAAUUUUGUGAAACUGAUCAAUGGCAAUUUGAAGUGUUAAA